rnacentral:rRNA from 1 species
GACGAACGCUGGCGGCGUGCUUAACACAUGCAAGUCGAACGGUGAAGCGCCUUCCUUUUUGGUGGGUGUGGAUGAGUGGCGAACGGGUGAGUAACACGUUAGUAACCUGCCCCCUUCUUCUGGAUAACCGCAUGAAAGUGUGGCUAAUACGGGAUAUUCUGGUUCUGUCGCAUGAUGGGUCUGGGAAAGAUAUUGUUUCGGUGGGUGAUGGGCUCGCGGCCUAUCAGCUUGUUGGUGGGGUGAUGGCCUACCAAGGCGGUGACGGGUAGCCGGCCUGAGAGGGUGGACGGUCACACGGGGAGUGAGACACGGCCCAGACUCCUACGGGAGGCAGCAGUGGGGAAUAUUGCACAAUGGGCGCAAGCCUGAUGCAGCGACGCCGCGUGAGGGAUGGAGGCCUUCGGGUUGUGAACCUCUUUCGCCAGUGAAGCAGGCCUGCCUCGUUUGUGGGUGGGUUGACGGUAGCUGGAGAAGAAGCGCCGGCUAACUACGUG